GACUCAACUUGCUAGUAUCGGGCAGCAGCCAGGACCACAGCUCCUCCAGCUCCUUUGUGACCUUUUCCUUCAGCUUCUUCAAAUACUGGGUUAGACACCUGCCUGGAAUAUAGUGAGUGUUAGAUAUACUUUUAAAAAACUCCCCGUAGAAGGCAGCGAAGAAGACAAAUCACAAACUGGUGUGAAUAGAGCCAGCAAAGGAGGUCUUAUCUAUGGGAACUACCUGCAUUUGGAAAAAGUUUUGAAUGCACAAGAACUGCAAAGUGAAACAAAAGGAAAUAAAAUCCAUGAUGAACAUCUUUUUAUCAUAACUCAUCAAGCUUAUGAACUCUGGUUUAAGCAAAUCCUCUGGGAGUUGGAUUCUGUUCGAGAGAUCUUUCAGAAUGGCCAUGUCAGAGAUGAAAGGAACAUGCUUAAGGUUGUUUCUCGGAUGCACCGAGUGUCAGUGAUCCUGAAACUGCUGGUGCAGCAGUUUUCCAUUCUGGAGACGAUGACAGCCUUGGACUUCAAUGACUUCAGAGAGUACUUAUCUCCAGCAUCAGGCUUCCAGAGUUUGC
rnacentral:lncRNA from 1 species